GACGAACGCUGGCGGCGUGCCUAACACAUGCAAGUCGAGCGAAGAACUUCCUUCCGGAACGGAUUACCGGCGGAUGGGUGAGUAACACCUGGGUAACCUGCCUGAUAUAGGGGAAUAGCCUUCCGAAAGGAAGAUUAUUACCGCAUAUUAUUAAUAUUUCGCAUGAUAUAAUGAUUAAUGGACCACUCCACUGUCCCAUGGACCCUCGGCUCAUUGGCUAGGUGGCGAGGCAACGGCUCACCAAUGCCACGAUGCGUAGCCAACCUGAAAGGGUGAUCUGCCACUUUGGGACUGACACAACGCCCACACUCCUACGGGAGGCAGCAUUGGGGAAUAUGGCACAAUGGGGGAAACCCUGAUGCCGCAUCACCGCGUGAGUGAUGACGGCCUUCGGGUUGUAAAGCUCUGUCUUAUGGGACGAUAAUGACAGUACCUAACGAGGAAUCCAUGCCUAACUACAUGCCCGCUACCGCGGUAAUGCCUAGGUGGCAACCGAUGUCCUGAUUUUCUGGGACUGUCAGAGGGAGCAUAUGCGGAUGUUAUAAUGUGGGAUGUGAAAUACCCGAGCUCAGCUUGAGUGCUGCAUUCCUAUCUGGACAUCUAGAGAACAAGAUGGAAACGUGGAAUUCCUAGUGUAGUGCUGAAAUGCUUAGAGAUUCCCGCAGAACCCCAGUGGACUAUGCGACUUUCUGGACUGUAUCUGACACUGAGCUCGAAGACGUGAGGAGAUUACAUGAUUAGAUACCCUGCGUACUCCACGCCUGAAAACUAGAAGACUAAGUGUACGGGAUGUCAUGACCUCUGUGCCGCCACUAACUCAUUCACCAGUCCACCACGGGAGUACGAUCGCAAGAUUAAGACUCAGAGGGAGUGGACGGGGGCCCGCACAAGUAUCUGGACUUAGUGGUUU
rnacentral:rRNA from 1 species